rnacentral:rRNA from 1 species
CCUGGCUCAGGACGAACGCUGGCGGCGUGCUUACACACGCAAGUCGAACGGAAAGGCCCUGCUUUUGUGGGUGCUCGAGUGGCGAACGGGUGAGUAACACGUGAGUAACCUGCCCUUGACUUUGGGAUAACUUCAGGAAACUGGGGCUAAUACCGGAUAGGAGCUCCUGCUGCAUGGUGGGGGUUGGAAAGUUUCGGCGGUUGGGGAUGGACUCGCGGCUUAUCAGCUUGUUGGUGGGGUAGUGGCUUACCAAGGCUUUGACGGGUAGCCGGCCUGAGAGGGUGACCGGCCACAUUGGGACUGAGAUACGGCCCAGACUCCUACGGGAGGCAGCAGUGGGGAAUAUUGCACAAUGGGCGGAAGCCUGAUGCAGCAACGCCGCGUGCGGGAUGACGGCCUUCGGGUUGUAAACCGCUUUCGCCUGUGACGAAGCGUGAGUGACGGUAAUGGGUAAAGAAGCACCGGCUAACUACGUGCCAGCAGCCGCGGUGAUACGUAGGGUGCGAGCGUUGUCCGGAUUUAUUGGGCGUAAAGGGCUCGUAGGUGGUUGAUCGCGUCGGAAGUGUAAUCUUGGGGCUUAACCCUGAGCGUGCUUUCGAUACGGGUUGACUUGAGGAAGGUAGGGGAGAAUGGAAUUCCUGGUGGAGCGGUGGAAUGCGCAGAUAUCAGGAGGAACACCAGUGGCGAAGGCGGUUCUCUGGGCCUUUCCUGACGCUGAGGAGCGAAAGCGUGGGGAGCGAACAGGCUUAGAUACCCUGGUAGUCCACGCUGUAAACGGUGGGUACUAGGUGUGGGGUCCAUUCCACGGGUUCCGUGCCGUAGCUAACGCUUUAAGUACCCCGCCUGGGGAGUACGGCCGCAAGGCUAAAACUCAAAGGAAUUGACGGGGCCCCGCACAAGCGGCGGAGCAUGCGGAUUAAUUCGAUGCAACGCGUAGAACCUUACCUGGGUUUGACAUGGAUCGGGAGUGCUCAGAGAUGGGUGUGCCUCUUUUGGGGUCGGUUCACAGGUGGUGCAUGGCUGUCGUCAGCUCGUGUCGUGAGAUGUUGGGUUAAGUCCCGCAACGAGCGCAACCCUUGUUCACUGUUGCCAGCACGUUAUGGUGGGGACUCAGUGGAGACCGCCGGGGUCAACUCGGAGGAAGGUGGGGAUGACGUCAAGUCAUCAUGCCCCUUAUGUCCAGGGCUUCACGCAUGCUACAAUGGCUGGUACAGAGAGUGGCGAGCCUGUGAGGGUGAGCGAAUCUCGGAAAGCCGGUCUCAGUUCGGAUUGGGGUCUGCAACUCGACCUCAUGAAGUCGGAGUCGCUAGUAAUCGCAGAUCAGCAACGCUGCGGUGAAUACGUUCCAGGGGCUUGCACUCACCGCCCGUCAAG